GCUAGAAACUUUAUGUAAGUAGUUUGUAUAUAGAGAUCUGGCAGCUAGAAACUGUAUGCUGGACGGUUUUGAAUACAGUUAAAGUGGCAGACUUUGGUCUAUGUCGUGAUAUCUGUGAGAAAGGUUAUUACAGCAGUGACAAUAAGAAAAUGUUGCCUAUUCGAUGGAUGGCUAUUGAAAGUAUAGAACAUGGAUCUUAUACUACAAAGUCCGAUGUGUGGUCACUUGGUGUUGUACUCUGGGAAUUGUUGACCAGGGGAUUAACUCCGUAUCCAGGUGUAGACUGCUGGGACAUCAUCAACUAUUUACGUUACAGGAGAUUACCUCCGCCUUUUUUCUGUCCGGAACAAAUGUGAGUACACAAUAUAGGUCUUACUCGUUUGUCAUGAGUAACAAGUCUCUCAAUAAAGCACAGCUAGACCACAC
rnacentral:sRNA from 1 species